rnacentral:rRNA from 1 species
CCAGCAGCCCGGGUAAUACGUAGGUGGCAAGCGUUAUCCGGAAUUAUUGGGCGUAAAGCGCGCGUAGGCGGUUUUUUAAGUCUGAUGUGAAAGCCCACGGCCCAUUUGUGGAGGGUCAUUGGAAACUGGAAAACUUGAGUGCAGACGUGGAAAGUGGAAUUCCAUGUGUAGCGGUGAAAUGCGCAGAGAUAUGGAGGAACACCAGUGGCGAAGGCGACUUUCUGGUCUGUAACUGACGCUGAUGUGCGAAAGCGUGGGGAUCAAACAGGAUUAGAUACCCUGGUAAAACCCC